GACGAACGCUGGCGGCGUGCUUAACACAUGCAAGUCGAACGGAGAUAAUAUUGAAGAGCAAUCAGAUAUAUUAUCUUAGUGGCGGACGGGUGAGUAACGCGUGGGCAACCUGCCUUAGACUGGGGGAUAACAGUGGGAAACUACUGCUAAUACCGCAUAACGUCAUGAAGUGACAUCACUUUAUGACCAAAGGAGCAAUCCGGUAUAAGAUGGGCCCGCGUCCGAUUAGCUAGUUGGUGAGGUAACGGCCCACCAAGGUAACGAUCGGUAGCCGAACUGAGAGGUUGAUCGGCCACAUUGGGACUGAGAUACGGCCCAGACUCCUACGGGAGGCAGCAGUGGGGAAUAUUGCGCAAUGGGGGAAACCCUGACGCAGCAACGCCGCGUGAAGGAUGAAGGUUUUCGGAUCGUAAACUUCUUUGACAGGGGACGAAUAAUGACGGUACCCUGAAAACAAGCCACGGCUAACUACGUGCCAGCAGCCGCGGUAAUACGUAGGUGGCGAGCGUUGUCCGGAAUUACUGGGUGUAAAGGGCGUGUAGGUGGGAAUGCAAGUCAGAUGUGAAAUACCAUGGCUUAACUGUGGUGCUGCAUCUGAAACUGCGUUUCUUGAGUGCUGGAGAGGGAAGCGGAAUUCCAAGUGUAGCGGUGAAAUGCGUAGAUAUUUGGAGGAACACCAGUGGCGAAGGCGGCUUUCUGGACAGUAACUGACACUGAGGCGCGAAAGCGUGGGGAGCAAACAGGAUUAGAUACCCUGGUAGUCCACGCUGUAAACGAUGAGUGCUAGGUGUAGGGGGCGUCAUGCCUUCUGUGCCGCAGUAAACGCAAUAAGCACUCCGCCUGGGGAGUACGGUCGCAAGACUAAAACUCAAAGGAAUUGACGGGGGCCCGCACAAGCAGCGGAGCAUGUGGUUUAAUUCGAAGCAACGCGAAGAACCUUACCAGGGCUUGACAUCUCCUGAAUAGUAUAGAGAUAUAUGAAGCUCUUCGGAGCAGGAAGACAGGUGGUGCAUGGUUGUCGUCAGCUCGUGUCGUGAGAUGUUGGGUUAAGUCCCGCAACGAGCGCAACCCUUGUAAUUAGUUGCCAGCAGUAAGAUGGGCACUCUAAUUAGACUGCCAGGGUUAACCUGGAGGAAGGUGGGGAUGACGUCAAAUCAUCAUGCCCCUUAUGUCCUGGGCAACACACGUGCUACAAUGGCUACAACAAAGAGGUGCGAGACCGUGAGGCAGAGCGAAUCUCAAAAAGUAGUCCCAGUUCGGAUUGUAGGCUGAAACUCGCCUACAUGAAGCCGGAGUUGCUAGUAAUCGCGAAUCAGCAUGUCGCGGUGAAUACGUUCCCGGGCCUUGUACACACCGCCCGUCACACCAUGAGAGUCAGCAACACCCGAAGCCUGUGAGUUAACUCGCAAGAGAGACAGCAGUCGAAGGUGGGGCGGAUGAUUGGGGUG
rnacentral:rRNA from 1 species